GGUUACGAUAUUGAAAAAUAAGUGAGAACACGGAC
rnacentral:sRNA from 1 species